rnacentral:lncRNA from 1 species
CAGAGUCACAGAGCUGACAGACAAUGGGAGCCCCUGGAGCACGUGUGUGAACUAGGUGCCACGUGGAGACUUUUUCAGGCACUGUCUCAUUUAGUCCUUGGUUACUUCUCUCAGCCUCCUCCUCCUUUCCCACUUGGAAUUCAGAUGAGCUCAGAAACCAUCUACAGGGCUGUGAUGAGGCUUAAAGGAGUUGCCAGGUGGGAGCGUGCCAGCAGGGAGAGUGCAGUGAGCGCUUGGUAAAGAACCUGCAGUGCCAUCUACAGCGCAGACUGCAGGUUCCUCAGGCUGCGGGUGAAGUGGUUCACAGCAGGCCCCAGCACCCCGCUGCAGUUCCACCUGGCCCUGCUCCCAACCACGGCACCCCCUCCAGGCGGACCGGUCCUCUUGGAGACUGCUGACAACAAGCACACUUCUGCCUCUCCCUCAAGCCUGCUGAAACCAUCUGCUGCACGGGAAUGUCCUCCCUCCUUCUGUCUAGUCCCAGAUCACACCUUGUGCAAAGCCCACCUCCAGGGCCACCUCUCCCCUCCCUUGAAGAUCUAGCUUUUACUGUCCAUCAUUCACUUUGCAUUUUAAAAUAUACUGCUUGGUAGCAUCUCUUUCAUAUAUCAACCUAUAAUCUGAAAGGUACUUUAAAAAAAAAAAGACGAGGAAAAAGGAAAGGCCAACAUCAGUAACCUAAGACGGGCAGGAGCUAUUCUCCCCACUUCUGGCUCUCAUUUGGAGAAAGAAUAAAGAAACUCAAAAAAAAAAAAAAAAAAAAAAAAAAGAUAGUCUGAGAUGGGACUUAACAUUAGGACAGCUAAGAGGUAGACAGGUAUAUGUGAAAAGCAUUGUUGCAUGGAGACUGGACAAAGUCAAGAAAUGGCCAACAUCAAAGUUGGCAUGUGUCUCUAAUUCCCUAAACUUGCAGAGAUAAGCACAUGCUAACAAGAUCUGGAAUUUCGAAUUAACAGACAUAAACUACCAUAUAUAAAAUGGGUAAAU